ensembl:lncRNA
GAUUUCACAAAUAAGCUAUGCAUUUCACUAUUUCCUACUAAUAUGCAAAAAAUGUAUUUAUGAUAAUUACAUGUACUGUGUGCCAGAACUGAAACAAUACAUUCCUCAUAAUGGAGCAUAAAUAAAGAAGGUGGAGCCAGCUGCUCUUAAACUGUUUAUUUGCAAGCAGUAAUGAUAUAGAGAAUAUACCUUUUUCACUGUUAGUCUGGCAAUACUGAACCUGUUGCUGCAUUAGACGAGUUGCAUUUUGCUGGAUAGGGGAAGGAGGGCUGUCUGCUGUCUGGUAGGAGGGCUUUGUCUGUGCCUUUCUCUCUCUGUUUCUUUCUGUUUUUCUUUCUCUCUCUCUCUCCUCUUCUCUCUCUCUCCCACUCGCUUGCUCUGUCUCUGUCUCUCUCUCCCUCUCUGCCCCCCCUCUCCCUCCCUCUCUCUUGCUCUCUCUCUCUCUUCCCGUCUCUGUGGUUUGUAAGGUAGGUUGCAGUGUGUGUAUAUACACAACAUCAAGAGCAGGAAAAUGGACUCAUUAGGGAGGCAGGCAGUCAUUACCACUCACACUGUACUUCCAGGGAGACACCGAUUAUGAGAAGAGAAACUCAGCGCUGGGGAAGAAGAGAAUGACAGGCAGUGACUACCAUUUAUUGAAUCACCCUUUGUGCUGGUAACUGAACUGUGAGGUAAAUAUUAUCUUAUUAUUCUUCACAACAAUCUCAUAAGGCAGAUAUUUACAUUUUAUCAAUGAGGAAUCUAUGGCUACGUUAGAUUAAAUAACUUCCAUAAGGCUACACAUCUAGUUAUGGAGGAGUUAUUCAGAAUCAGUGGUGUAAUAGGCAAAAAAGGAUUGCUGAGACUAAGGUGUAUACUGUUAUGGAUAAUGAAAGGAGUUUCUCACUUUUUUCCAGUAAACAGAGGAAGAUGAGCUUUUUCGAGAAAGAGUGGGAAAGGGGGAGGGAGGAAGGGCAAACGUUUGUGUUUUUGACCGGUAGGAGUGAGUUUGUCAGAGAAUAGAAGGCUGAUGCCUCACUGUGGCCUGUCUUUCCAAAGCCCUAGGUGCUGCUUUUGGUACUGUUGUAGACACAGGCAUCCAGGGCGGCUGAAACACUGCAUUAUGCCUUGCUGGGGCCAGUUGAGGGACCGGAAGCAGUGGUGGCUGCAGGGGAGGUUCUUAGAACUUUUAACUCUAUUUGGAACAGCUUUUAUGGGCAAACUUAUCAGCACAGCUAUUCCAGACUGUCAGAGCCCAGGAAACCUGAUGCUGUGUAUGAGUGCCACAUCAGUUUCACUAUUGAUUUGACCUCAAAGCCCGUGGUCCCAACCAGUGUGCUGUUUUGUAUAACAAUUAUAUCAUUCAAUGUACCUACAGCAACUGCAGAAAAACACCUAUUCCUGCACAGUUUUAAACUCCGAAGUAACCUUCAGCUCUAGCCCAGAGGAAAAUAAAAAUCCAAUUAUAUAAUAUGAUCUUUUACUAUGAAUGGGGAACCCCAAACGUGUGAAACAAUUAGAAAUUCUCCGUUUCUUUUAAUCACAGGAAUAUUCACACCUGUGUGAAUUACAGAGCUAAAAAACACCCCCGACUCUCCGAAGUUCUACUAUAAAGAAGUCUAGUUAUUUGCCUUAGUUUCAAAAGAAAAGUUCCCUAAGUAUUUCAAAAUGUUCGACUGGCUGCCCCAGCUAUUCUCUUUGGAAGCUUCUUUCUCAUCCUCAUGGCACAUCCCUCUGGCAUGCAUGACCAGCUGCAAGCUAAACCCUGUGGAAUAAGAAUUCUUUCAUCCCUUUGUGUGAUGUGUUUCAUUUUCAGAGUUUGGAUGAUCCUCCUCGGCAGCAGCGGCAGGCAUUGUUAGUUUCAAUAGGAGGCCUGGAUGCACAAGAACAGUCAUCCUAGAGAGCCAGGCUCUCGGGGUCCGUUCCUUCGCACCACGGUGCUGUGUUAGAUCACUUUCUCCUGCUGGAUUAAUGACCAGGAAAAAAGGCCUCGCUUGCCUGUGUUGGGAUCAGUUACUCCAUAGAAGUCCCUGGGUCUAGUGACAAGAAGCUGCCUCGGUUAUCAAGGUUCUUUCUUGUUAUGUAGUCCUGUAUGUGUCUUCCUAUUUGCCUUGUGCUAUACCUUCUUUCCUGUAUAUCUGAUCUUUAACCAUUUUUCAGGACUCUGAGCAUUCUGCUUUAUUUUGCCCUUUUAUAUUUGUGGUCUCACCAGUACCUGCUUGACUGCAUUUAUAUGUAGGGAAUAAUUCAGUAAAAAUUAAAUGGGAUAAAUUUAUAACUGAAAACUUUUCUGUACCAACUGUAAGGAUGAGAUUUUUUCUCUCUUUUUUCUUUUCUGUUAUCAGCCUUUGCUCUUCAUGGGACUACUCAAAAUACAAAGGUUGGUACACUAAAAGCAAAUUCUGAGAUACAAAUUUGUUGCUAUCUCUGGGAACGCUCAAUCUGUCAGUGAGAAGCAUAUGCCAAGAAAAUUUUCAGGUUGCUGCAGCUUUGGUCACUUGAAGCAACUUGCCUGCCCUCACUAAAUAUGCAUUUUAUUUUAAUAUUUUAUUUCAUGAAAACUAUUUAAGCCUAGACAGUAAAACUCAUGUAAUCUGUUUUGUUCUUCUCUUUAAACGAAUUAGGAAUCACGACAAUCUCACCUUUGGGAACUGUUAUUAUGAUAAUUUGGCCCAUUUGUCCUGUUGUCUUGGUUGGCCUUUAGAAUGUAUAAUCAUUCAAUUUUGUCUCAUCAGGACUAUUUCCAAAAAGGAAACGAGGGGUCAGCUUUUACUGUAGGGUUCCACAUUUACUGAGAUAGCAGUGUCUUAUUUUUCCAUCUGGGUAUUUGACUCUGGGAAAAUUACCAUGGCGUAUAACUGCCAGCUGCACAAAGGUGGUGCCAGUUUUGUCAGCAACUUAUGAAAAACUCCUAAAUGAAUAUGUAUGACAAAACAGUAUACACAUUUUCUUGCAUGGUAGUGAAGAGGUGGACUUGUGUUAAAAUAUAAAACCACACGAUAAAACCCGUCAGCUCAUGAAGGGUUCAAACUAGACCUGUGUGGUUGUAGGAGUGCAGACUGGCCAGCCUGAGUGGGUGUGAAUCCUAGUUCUGCCACUCAGCAGACCGGUGAUCUUCGGCAAAUCGCUUAAUCUCUGUGCCUCAGUUUACAUGUCAAUAAAAUGGGGAUAAUGACAUCUAAUAUCUAGGUACCUGCCUCCUGGAGUUUUUGUGAGGUUUAAAUAGGUAAAUAUACAUAAAAGUACUUAGAACAAAACCUGAAUACAGAGCAUGCUUAUGUAUUUGCUAAUAUCACAUAAUCUGUAGAAGUGAAGAUGAAAAUGUAGCUGUUAUCUGAGCCUGCCUCCUCUAAGAGUUACAAAAGUGUGAGAAAAUUCUUACCACUUCUAGAAUGUGGAAUAAUUUGAAAACAGCACUAUUUUGUUUUAAAGCUCAAGCAUUGAUAGUGCAAUUGUCCUGAAAGGAGACAUAUUUAACCUUUAACCAAGAUGAAAUUAAGCAGAAUUGUUUUUAUACUCCCCUUUUAGAAAAAAGGAGACGAAUCAUUAGAAAAUAGUUCAUUUUUAGGGGUAUCUUCAAAAAGCAACUUUAAGCAUGCUUGUUAUGUUCUAGGGUCACUGUGUAGUCAGUACAAUAUCCUAUGUCUACGUGUUUAGAAUUCUGUCAAAUUAGAAGGCAAGUGGUCGUUACGUGGGUCUCUGGACUCCUGGAAAUUUUAUACAAAAUUUUGUGAACAUAUAUACUUUUCUAGAGAAGAAGAGCCUUGGUUUUUAUCAUCUUCUCAGAGGGACUUAUCCCCCAAAAGAUCAAGAACCACUCUCUAAAGCAGUAUAAAUUUUUCAUCUUCAGUGAAAGACAAAAUUGUAAUACCCUAUUUACCAAGGUAGCGAAAUCUGCUAGUAUAUCCUAGGUUUUUAUUUAAAAGGAUCAAAAUGAAAACUUUAUUCUCCCUGGUGAACUUUUAGCUAACCAUAGAAUUUAAUUAUUUGGUGUUCUAGGUAAUAAUCAAUGUUUACUUGUGUCAAACAGCCAUCAUUCUUCAGUAUAUUAGUUGAGCUGGUAUUUUGUCCAGAGAAAAUGAUGAUUUUUGUCUUCUGUUCAUUCUUUCUUUUUGUCCUUCUAGUUUCAGAAUUAUUGACAUUUUGCAUAGUUUCACAAUUGUGUACUUCUUAUGAUGUACUUAGGAGUAAGAAUGUUCUAGAAAUGCUUUCUCCAAAACCGUUAUUAUAUCAAUCUCAUUAAUAUAAUUUAGCCCAGAAUGUUUCUACUCGUUCUGUCCAAAUGUAUUGUGACAUAAAGUAUCUGAAAGAGGACAAAGGAAAGUUGGAAAGAAGGGAAUUUUAUUGACUGCUGAAAUCUCAAAAAUGUGUUGUAUUGGCUUAUGCGCUUGUGCAAAUGUUUAAGUUUCCAUUUACUUUCGUGUUUUUUCAUUGCUUUUAGUAAAAUGCC